UCCUACUCCUUUAGAGUGUUUCAUUAGGCACUGGAAGAUGUUUGAUCCUUACAUGCUGAAAAAGAGCUUCUAAAAUGAAAGGAAGAGGGGGCUGGGGAGAUGGC